UGAAAUCGAGGUACGAGGGGAGCUAAAGGUAGAAAGAAAAUCACCUUGAGACUCGAACAGGUUGAUCGCCGUUUAUUGCGGCGGAUUGACAUUGUAGAGGAAGGAUUAGGGUUCGGUUGAAGGAAAUGAAAUGGGGACUAGGGUUUGGGUGGCCAAAACAUCAGAUUUUAGGCUUUUUUUUAAAGGACUGAAUAUGGCGUCGUUUUGAGCCUGAUUCAGUGGCUCCAAA
rnacentral:lncRNA from 1 species